CACCCCUUCCAUCUUUAGCCCAUCAGCUGUGCCUGGACCAGGUCUCCUGCGGCUGAGUUCAGAGAGGGAGCAGGGCUGAGCGGAGGCGGCAGAGGGAGGGGCAGAGAAAAUGGUCCGUAGCCACAACGCCAAUCAGCCUCACCAUUAGGGCCUGUGGCAUGAGACCCAGGGCAGUAAGAUUCCCAGGCAGGCAUCCGGUCACAACCCACACCCUUCCCCCCUCUCCUUGUCAUCGGACGCAGCGCCAGGAGAGUGAGUAGCACCAAGUUCUGCCACUGAGCUGCUUACUGUCCGUGCGCCAGGAGAAUCACAGUCAGAGAGACUCAUCACUACCGCCUGAGAGGGACCUGCUGGGGCAGAGGUAGGAAAGCAAGGGUUGGGGCCAUUAGUUCUCCCACCGCAGCAAGAGAGGGCAGUG
rnacentral:lncRNA from 1 species